CUUAGGAGGAAAUACCUAAGAAGAGGUAAUUAAUUACUAUCUGAAAAGUGCUUUGAGAUCCUCUGAAGAAAGUUUGCUUUUCUAUAGUGAAGAAGGAAUGCGGUCAUAUGAAUUUCAAGGAUAAGAAAGCAAUCUACAUGCAUCCAGCAAAUCUAAAGGACAAAAGAAUUUUUUUCAGUCACUUGAAGCAUGGUACGAGUGGACCAAGAGAUCUGUGUCUGGGCCAAAGGAGACACGUUUAGGCUGGAUAUCAGAAAGGCCCAUGAAGUGGCUCUGUAAGACACUCUGCCCAACAGCAUGGCACCAUGUUGGAUGGGCUCAAACUGAUCCAAUUAUCUCCUAUGUCUUGUUAUGAAGGUCCAGAGUCCAACACAGGCUUCACUUGGCUAAAAUCAAGAUUUUAGCCAUACACCCCACAUUUGGUGAGUUCUAGUUAAACCAGUAUAAAAUGUCAAGUGUUCCUGGCUACUCUGGAGGUAUUGGCAGCUCAGCCAAACUAAAGAUAUUCUGAACACAAACUGAGCGAGGAUAAUUUAUGUUCUAAAAAGCAUUAGAAGGCUGGUACCAUAAAGGACUACCAAAGACUCGGUCUGAAGGGAUGAAACGGACUGAGUUGUUACAGAGCAGAACCAAAGGCACGGAGGCAGAUGCAGAUCGGGAGCUGCUCUGAGGCAGGAGCAGAGCUGUGGAAGGGGGGAGGAGGCCUCGCUGGGGCCUGUGGAACACAAGCAAGAUGGAGCCUCCUCCCUCAGUUUCUGCCAGGGAUGAAUCCAGGCUUGAAUGGGACCUUGAAGCUCACAUGAUAGUGGAGGCCAUUUUAAGAAAAAGAAUACAAAAUUGUGGAUA